GGGUCGAUGCCCGAGUGGCUAAUGGGGACGGACUGUAAAUUCGUUGGCAAUAUGCUUACGCUGGUUCAAAUCCAGCUCGGCCCA
rnacentral:tRNA from 1 species